rnacentral:rRNA from 1 species
GAUGAACGCUAGCUACAGGCUUAACACGUGCAAGUCGAGGGGAAACGACAUCGAAAGCUUGCUUCCGAUGGGCGUCGACCGGCGCACGGGUGAGUAACGCGUAUCCAACCUGCCCACCACUUGGGGAUAACCUUGCGAAAGUAAGACUAAUACCCAAUGAUAUCUCUAGAAGACAUCUGAAAGAGAUUAAAGAUUUAUCGGUGAUGGAUGGGGAUGCGUCUGAUUAGCUUGUUGGCGGGGUAACGGCCCACCAAGGCGACGAUCAGUAGGGGUGCUGAGAGGAAAGUCCACCACAUUGGAACUGAUACACGGUCCAAACUCCUACGGGAGGCAGCAGUGAGGAAUAUUGGUCAAUGGACGAGAGUCUGAACCAGCCAAGUAGCGUGCAGGAAGACGGCCCUAUGGGUUGUAAACUGCUUUUAUAAGGGAAUAAAGUGAGUCUCGUGAGACUUUUUGCAUGUACCUUAUGAAUAAGGACCGGCUAAUUCCGUGCCAGCCGCCGCAGUAA